rnacentral:rRNA from 1 species
CCUACGGGUGGCAGCAGUGAGGAAUAUUGGUCAAUGGGCGCGAGCCUGAACCAGCCAAGUAGCGUGAGGGAUGACUGCUCUACGGGUUGUAAACUUUUUUAAUAAAGGAAUAAAGUGAGGCACGUGUGCCUUUUUGUAUGUACUUUAUGAAUAAGGAUCGGCUAACUCCGUGCAAGCAGCCGCGGUAAUACGGAGGAUCCGAGAGUUAUCCGGAUGUAUUGGGUUUAAAGGGAGCGUAGAUGGGUUGGUAAGUCAGUUGUGAAAGUUUGCGGCUCAACCGUAAAAUUGCAAUUGAUACUGGCAGGCUGGAGUACAGUUGAGGUAGGCGGAAUUCGUGGUGUAGCGGUGAAAUGCUUAGAUAUCACGAAGAACUCCGAUUGCGAAGGCAGCUUACUAAACUGCCACUGACAUUGAUGCUCGAAAGUGUGGGUAUCAAACAGGAUUAGAUACCCUAGUAGUC